GCAGCGAUGGUUCAGUAGUAGAAUUCUCACCUUCCGUGUUGGAGACCUGGGUUCGAUUCCGGUCAGUGCA
rnacentral:tRNA from 1 species